rnacentral:rRNA from 1 species
GAUGAACGCUGGCGGCGUGCCUAAUACAUGCAAGUCGAGCGAACGGACGAGAAGCUUGCUUCUCUGAUGUUAGCGGCGGACGGGUGAGUAACACGUGGAUAACCUACCUAUAAGACUGGGAUAACUUCGGGAAACCGGAGCUAAUACCGGAUAAUAUUUUGAACCGCAUGGUUCAAAAGUGAAAGACGGUCUUGCUGUCACUUAUAGAUGGAUCCGCGCUGCAUUAGCUAGUUGGUAAGGUAACGGCUUACCAAGGCAACGAUGCAUAGCCGACCUGAGAGGGUGAUCGGCCACACUGGAACUGAGACACGGUCCAGACUCCUACGGGAGGCAGCAGUAGGGAAUCUUCCGCAAUGGGCGAAAGCCUGACGGAGCAACGCCGCGUGAGUGAUGAAGGUCUUCGGAUCGUAAAACUCUGUUAUUAGGGAAGAACAUAUGUGUAAGUAACUGUGCACAUCUUGACGGUACCUAAUCAGAAAGCCACGGCUAACUACGUGCCAGCAGCCGCGGUAAUACGUAGGUGGCAAGCGUUAUCCGGAAUUAUUGGGCGUAAAGCGCGCGUAGGCGGUUUUUUAAGUCUGAUGUGAAAGCCCACGGCUCAACCGUGGAGGGUCAUUGGAAACUGGAAAACUUGAGUGCAGAAGAGGAAAGUGGAAUUCCAUGUGUAGCGGUGAAAUGCGCAGAGAUAUGGAGGAACACCAGUGGCGAAGGCGACUUUCUGGUCUGUAACUGACGCUGAUGUGCGAAAGCGUGGGGAUCAAACAGGAUUAGAUACCCUGGUAGUCCACGCCGUAAACGAUAAGUGCUAAGUGUUAGGGGGUUUCCGCCCCUUAGUGCUGCAGCUAACGCAUUAAGCACUCCGCCUGGGGAGUACGACCGCAAGGUUGAAACUCAAAGGAAUUGACGGGGACCCGCACAAGCGGUGGAGCAUGUGGUUUAAUUCGAAGCAACGCGAAGAACCUUACCAAAUCUUGACAUCCUUUGACAACUCUAGAGGUAGAGCUUUCCCCUUCGGGGGACAAAGUGACAGGUGGUGCAUGGUUGUCGUCAGCUCGUGUCGUGAGAUGUUGGGUUAAGUCCCGCAACGAGCGCAACCCUUAAGCUUAGUUGCCAUCAUUAAGUUGGGCACUCUAAGUUGACUGCCGGUGACAAACCGGAGGAAGGUGGGGAUGACGUCAAAUCAUCAUGCCCCUUAUGAUUUAGGCUACACACGUGCUACAAUGGACAAUACAAAGGGCAGCGAAACCGCGAGGUCAAGCAAAUCCCAUAAAGUUGUUCUCAGUUCGGAUUGUAGUCUGCAACUCGACUACAUGAAGCUGGAAUCGCUAGUAAUCGUAGAUCAGCAUGCUACGGUGAAUACGUUCCCGGGUCU